UCACAAUUAUGAUCAUGAUGGUGGUUAUGGUUAUGGUCGUGGUCAUGAUCGUGGUCAUGAUCGUGGCUAUGCUCUUCAUCUUCAUCAUGAUUAGUU
rnacentral:misc_RNA from 1 species